CUCUCCAGUGUUUGCACAGGCAUGGUCUCUUUCUGGUCCUCUUUACAACGCAGAGGUGAGAAAGGCAGAUACUCUCAUUUUGUGGAAAACAAAAUCCAGAAAAUAAGGACCAUCCUCCCUCUGGCACACCUUCUCUGACCCUUGGCGUCGCCCCCAUGGCCCGGGUAUGGUACCGGAAGAGACGAUUGGCUGCAGAGUUGCGGUAGGCAAUGUUGUUGAAGAAGACUUCCAGUUCCUGGUCGUUGUCGAAGUCGGCAACAAUGACAGUUCUGACCGGAGAGGGCAUGGAGAACUUGGGUGAGGCGAUGUCCUGGAGGAGAGAGUGAUGAGGGUCAGAAGACAGGAGGGUAACAAUGAGCAAGAACCCACACCCCUCUACUUCAGCACCUCUAUUAUGUCCCCUCUGCUGUGACCUGGAGUGGUGACCUGUGGGACUGCAUAAACUUCAGACUACUUGCAGAA